rnacentral:rRNA from 1 species
GGGAGCUUGCUCCCUGAUGUUAGCGGCGGACGGGUGAGUAACACGUGGGUAACCUGCCUGUAAGACUGGGAUAACUCCGGGAAACCGGGGCUAAUACCGGAUGGUUGUUUGAACCGCAUGGUUCAGACAUAAAAGGUGGCUUCGGCUACCACUUACAGAUGGACCCGCGGCGCAUUAGCUAGUUGGUGAGGUAACGGCUCACCAAGGCGACGAUGCGUAGCCGACCUGAGAGGGUGAUCGGCCACACUGGGACUGAGACACGGCCCAGACUCCUACGGGAGGCAGCAGUAGGGAAUCUUCCGCAAUGGACGAAAGUCUGACGGAGCAACGCCGCGUGAGUGAUGAAGGUUUUCGGAUCGUAAAGCUCUGUUGUUAGGGAAGAACAAGUGCCGUUCAAAUAGGGCGGCACCUUGACGGUACCUAACCAGAAAGCCACGGCUAACUACGUGCCAGCAGCCGCGGUAAUACGUAGGUGGCAAGCGUUGUCCGGAAUUAUUGGGCGUAAAGGGCUCGCAGGCGGUUUCUUAAGUCUGAUGUGAAAGCCCCCGGCUCAACCGGGGAGGGUCAUUGGAAACUGGGGAACUUGAGUGCAGAAGAGGAGAGUGGAAUUCCACGUGUAGCGGUGAAAUGCGUAGAGAUGUGGAGGAACACCAGUGGCGAAGGCGACUCUCUGGUCUGUAACUGACGCUGAGGAGCGAAAGCGUGGGGAGCGAACAGGAUUAGAUACCCUGGUAGUCCACGCCGUAAACGAUGAGUGCUAAGUGUUAGGGGGUUUCCGCCCUUA